UGUCUACUAGUUCUUCUCCUAGAGUAGUGUUUCUAUUACUUAGAGUAUUAUUUUUGUUAGUUGGCUCUGCUACCCCCUUGUCUUCACCAAUUUUGCCUCUCUUAAUCUCCAUUGAUACAUCAUAGGAUUCCUUUUCUUCAUGCUUACUCACCAAAUAGGCCUUGAUGGUAGUUGCAUCAACUAGAUCAUUCUAUUUAAUUAAU
rnacentral:lncRNA from 1 species